AACGAACGCUGGCGGCAGGCUUAACACAUGCAAGUCGAGCGCCCCGCAAGGGGAGCGGCAGACGGGUGAGUAACGCGUGGGAAUCUACCCAUCUCUACGGAACAACUCCGGGAAACUGGAGCUAAUACCGUAUACGUCCUUCGGGAGAAAGAUUUAUCGGAGUUGGAUGAGCCCGCGUUGGAUUAGCUAGUUGGUGGGGUAAUGGCCUACCAAGGCGACGAUGCAUAGCUGGUCUGAGAGGAUGAUCAGACACACUGGGACUGAGACACGGCCCAGAAUCCUACGGGAGGCAGCAGUGGGGAAUAUUGGACAAUGGGCGAAAGCCUGAUCCAGCCAUGCCGCGUGAGUGAUGAAGGCCCUAGAGUUGUAAAGCUCUUUCAACGGUGAAGAUAAUGACGGUAACCGUAGAAGAAGCCCCGGCUAACUUCGUGCCAGCCGCCGCGGUAAAAC
rnacentral:rRNA from 1 species